ACACACACACACACAGAGACAUGCUUUAUCAAAAAGGGCUUCCCAGGUUCUAUAUUUCAGGCUCAAGCCGAUCAAUGGUGACUAUAUGACAUACAUACAUACACUAACACACACAUGCACGCGCUCACACCCAGUUAAUAUGGCAGCUAGGUCACGCAGGGCUUCCAGGUGUGUGUGUCUGUGUGCGUGUGUGUAUGUGUGUCCCCUCCUGGUCCCUGUGUGUGUGUGUAGUGUAGUGUAGUGUAGUAUAGUGUGUUGUGUUGUGUUGGACCUCUGCGCUGGGGCUUCAGGUGGGCACUGAACCGGAGGCUGGCUGAUGGGUUGCUUGGUUGCCAUGCAGAUUGGGUUCCCUGACUCCUGGACUCCGGACGCGGCCCACGCUUGGGCCAGCUGCGUGUAAUCUGGGUCGUCGGAGGGCUUCCGCUGCAGCCAAGCCUGUGAAAGUUCUGGGCAUGCUCAGUUGCUGGCUGUCUGCAAUGUCUCUUCAGGAUGGGGGUUGUGAUGUCAUCUCUGAGCGCCAGUCCCCUGGCCUGGCCUGGCCUACCAUCGGCCGUCUCCAUGUGAGUGUAGUGGUUUGGGAGCCCUCUGUUCUCCUGAUAUGAAAGUUUUUGGGGGGAGGGGUUAUGAAAGGGUUUUUAUGUUACUGGGGUAAAGGGUGCCCCCUAAUGGUUACAAAGUGCAGUGACGCCUCUUCUGCCUCUCUGACUUGCUUUCCUGCCUCUUCUUUCUUUUUUUUUUUUUCUUUUGCUUUAAUUUUACUUUAUGCGAAACCAAAAGUCGUUUCAGUAAUAAGGGUUCAGGCUUGAGUGUUGAAUGAGUGAGAGACUGUGUGUGUGUGUGUGUGUGUGGUGGGGGUCAAAGGUCUGCCCUUAACACAAUCAUUGGGACUUAAUUUUGUGCUGUUGUUUAUUUUGUUGUUGGUCUCCUAACCUUACCAAGCUUAAGAAGUGAACGACGCUGAAAGUGUAGUUUUUAAAAAAGUGUACCAUUCUUUGUCAGUGAUCUUUCUGCAUGUCUUGAAAGCCACCCGGCGUUAACGAAUACUUUUUCUACAAAAAAAGUGAGAACUACUUUAAAGAGGAAAAAAAAGACAAAACUUUUUACAUAUUUUUAUUUUUUCAGUUGAUUCCUGGACCCAUAACCCUCCUCUCUAUAUAAUGUGACCAUUUUAUUACUUCAACUUAGUCUUUAUUUUCCAUAGUUCUGUUGUUUUCCUGUGUAUAACAUAUAGGCAAUUUAUAACAAAAUGGAGAAAAUUAUUGAUGAAAAAAAUUAAAAUUGAAAUCUAUUUUAUUUGAAAGUUUAUGGACCUUUUUAAAAGCGCCAAGCCGGGAACAGUGAUGUACACAGGGCCUCCUGGUGUGCGCUGCCUCAACGGUUAUGAGAAAUGUAUUAAGAGUUUUAUUUUUAUGCUUCUUUAAUAAAAUCUAGUUUGUUUUUAUUUACUUUUUAAAUUUUUGUUUACUUUUUUUGUAAUGCCAAGCGAUACCCUCCUGUGUCGUGGUCCAUUUAAUCUCAGCGCUUACAUCCUUUUGUGUUCGCCCACUGGGACACAUUUGUAGAAAAGGUACAGGUGGGUGUGUGUGUGUGUGUGUGUGAGUGAGCAAGUCAUAUUGUGAGCACACACACACACACGCACUCCGCAGUAUCCCGGAUAGCUCUUAAGCGCGUCCGGGACUCCUGCUAUGUGAAGAUAUGUGAUGUUGGAAUCAGAGGCCAUCUCUGACAGGUGUUCUAGAAUUGUGUUGUGUUGGAGGCGGAGCGUCCAAGCGCAUGUACAGGGUACUUAGAAGGCCAUGAGAACGGGGGCACCAGGGAGUUCAGUGCAGUGUUCCCCUCUCUUCCGCCUCUGGAAAUAUACAAGUGGGGUUCUUAUCCCUCAGAACCACACGAAGAAACAGUACGUCCUCAGUUUUUCCACUAAAGACAUUUUUUUUUUUUUUUUUUUUUUUAAACUUCCUCUUAGUUUCCACUUCUUCAUUGAUAUAUGAAUGUCUUGUAUGGGAAGAGUUGUUCUGCUUUUUUUUUUUUAACUUUAUUAUGUACCAUGAUAUCAUUUUUACAUUUUCUGACAUGAGAGUAGAGUAUUAUGUUUGGGGAUAUAUUUAAAGUAUAUGUAUAUUUAAUUAUUAUUAUUAAUUUUUUGCACAUAAUAUAUCUUUAAAUUAUUUUCCCUCUAGGAAGAGAAGGGGAGAUAACUAAUGUGAUUGCCGACCAAAAUCUAUUACCAGUAAGAUGACCCUAUCAAAUACCCUUACUUCCGACCAUUAGUAGAUUACAAAUCAAGAUGUAACAGAGGAGUUUAAAGGAAUUUUAAUAUACACGAUAACAGCACUCCCUAUCCCCAGUUUUAUUCUAGUUUACUUUUUUCAUAUGUUUAAACUACAGGCAAAAUGUAAAGCCACAAAAACAACGGAUGUUUCUGCCACUAGCCAAGUCAGGUACACAUACAGAAGUAUUUUGGCCUUAAGUUGAUCAAUAGGUUUGGGAGACAAUGCUUUCCUGUAGUAUUUUUUUUAUUUUUUUUGAGUGUAACUGAAGGCUGUCCCUCAACAAAACAAAAGACUAGAGAGAAACGGGGAAAGUAACUGCUGUGAUCUUCUUUGCUGCAGUCUGUGCUGUAAUAUCUGGAUACAUGGAAGCGUCAGUGAUGUAGUUCCCGCUGUUACCUCAAGAGGGAGCUAAAGGUUGUUGGAAGUGGGCGCUGCGGGGAGUGUCCUGCCCUUUUCCCGUAUGUCCUCACGGUGAUGGUGUAUGCUGGUACAAGUUCCUUUUUCAGGGGAGAAGAUUUUGAGGAAUUAAACUGAAUAAUUACAUUUUUGAAUGCAUAUUCACAAGGAUGAAAAUCGUAUUGUUUCAGACGUUCAAAUUCACUUUUUUUUUAUUUCAAUACUUUAAGGAGCUACAGAAAUGACAUCAAUGUGUGAAAUAUUUGUGUUUUGGAUACAUGUUCUUUUCCAAAUAUAUUUCCCUUUUUAUUUCAUAAUUAGUUUGAUCAAUUUUAUGCUAAGUUUUCUUUGAAUUGUUUUCUUUCUUAGAUGCAAAAAGUCUCAAUUGUUACCAAACAGAACUGUAGUCUUAUUCGUUUUGAUUUGAUCUGGUUUCCUCCGCUGUCUUGUUGAAAGGUCAAAGGUCAGUGCGAAUCAUUUACACGUACUGAUCUUCCUGGUCGUUUUGUUUGGCCUUGAACCACACGCGUUCAUACGCAGACCCGGUCCAUAUGGCCUGCAGUCAUUCUUUAAACAUAUUUGAAUUGCUCAAUGUAGAUUUACACAUUUCUCAUAUCUUUGGAGCCAUUCUUGGAGUUAGCAGAUGUGUGUGCAUCAUCCAUUUUGUGUAGCCUAUUUAUUUUGGAUUGGUCAUGUUUUGCCUUCGGAGGAGAAGGAGAUGAAGAGUCUCACACGUGCUUGCUUAUUUUUGGGAUGAUACUUUUUACAUGUAAGGUUACUCUAAUAUUUUUGGAAUAUUUUCAAGGCCUAUUUUACCCCCCUUCCCACACCCUACCCCAAUUUCAUACAUAAGACUGUUGUUUUUAUGUACUAUCGCAUAUUUUCAGACAAAAAUAAAAGUGUUUUUGAAUAUUG